UUUUCGGCAAUGGGGGAAACCCUGACCGAGCAAUGCCGCGUGAAUGAUGAAAUUCUUCGGAAUGUAAAAUUCUGUUGUGAGGGAAGAAAGGUAGUAUCAGGAAAUGGGUAUUACUUGACGGUACCUUACUAGAAAGCCCCGGCUAACUAUGUGCCAGCAGCCGCGGUAAUACAUAGGGGGCGAGCGUUAUCCGGAAUUAUUGGGCGUAAAGCGUGCGUAGGCGGUCGUUUAAGUCUGUCGUGAAAGCCCACAGCUUAACUGUGGAGGGUCGAUGGAAACUGGAUGGCUUGAAUCUAGAAGAGGUAAGUGGAAUUCCAUGUGUAGCGGUAAAAUGCUUAGAUAUAUGGAGGAACACCAGUGGCGAAGGCGGCUUACUGGUCUAGCAUUGACGCUGAGGCACGAAAGCGUAGGUAGCAAACAGGAUUAGAUACCCUGGUAGUCUACGCUGUAAACGAUGAGCACUAAGUGUCGGACGUAAGUUCGGUGCUGUAGUUAACGCAUUAAGUGCUCCGCCUGGGGAGUACGGUCGCAAGACUGAAACUCAAAGGAAUUGACGGGGACUCGCACAAGCGGUGGAGCAUGUGGUUUAAUUCGACGCAACGCGAAAAACCUUACCAGGCCUUGACAUCCCUAUGACCGCUCUAGAGAUAGAGUUUCCUCUUCGGAGGUAUAGGUGACAGGUGGUGCAUGGUUGUCGUCAGCUCGUGUCGUGAGAUGUUGGGUUAAGUCCCGCAACGAGCGCAACCCUUAUCAUUAGUUGCUAACAUUAAGUUGAGCACUCUAAUGAGACUGCCAGCGACAAGUUGGAGGAAGGUGGGGAUGACGUCAAAUCAUCAUGCCCCUUAUGGCCUGGGCUACACACGUGCUACAAUGGCCGGUACAAAGAGCAGCGAAAUUGUGAAAUGGAGCAAAUCUCAAAAAGCCGGUCUCAGUUCGGAUUGUAGUCUGCAACUCGACUACAUGAAGUUGGAAUCGCUAGUAAUCGUGGAUCAGCAUGCCACGGUGAAUACGUUCUCGAGUCUUGUACACACCGCCCGUCACACCAUGAGAGUUUGUAAUACCCGAAGCCGGUGGCUUAACCGCAAGGAGAGAGCCGUCUAAGGUAGGACAGAUGAUUGGGGUGAAGUCGUAACAAGGUAUCCCUACGAGAACGUGGGGAUG
rnacentral:rRNA from 1 species